AAUAAGUGCAGCCAUGAGUUUCAGCGUCCAACUUUAAUCGUCUGUCUUAUUUGAAAUAUUUUUAUAAUUAGCAAUUUUGUUGUUAUAAGAUGAUAAAAUAUGAAUAAUACUUUACUCGUGACUUAUGUUUUUAAUUUUUUUAAAUUUUUUUCAAAUAAGACGAGUGGUUAAAGUUGAGCGUGAAAAACCGUAGCUGCACUUAUU
rfam:Oryza meridionalis cultivar OR44 (W2112) chromosome 8, whole genome shotgun sequence.